GUGUACGGCCAUACCACUUUGAAAAUACCACCUCUCGUCCGAUCCAUGAAGUUAAGCAACGUCGGUACCUGGAAGGGAGUCCACUUGGGAACACUCGGUGUCGUAGACU
rnacentral:rRNA from 1 species